rnacentral:rRNA from 1 species
GAUGAACGCUGGCGGCGUGCCUAAUACAUGCAAGUCGAGCGAACAGACGAGGAGCUUGCUCCUUUGACGUUAGCGGCGGACGGGUGAGUAACACGUGGGUAACCUACCUAUAAGACUGGGAUAACUUCGGGAAACCGGAGCUAAUACCGGAUAAUAUUUCGAACCGCAUGGUUCAAUAGUGAAAGAUGGUCUUGCUAUCACUUAUAGAUGGACCCGCGCCGCAUUAGCUAGUUGGUAAGGUAACGGCUUACCAAGGCAACGAUACGUAGCCGACCUGAGAGGGUGAUCGGCCACACUGGAACUGAGACACGGUCCAGACUCCUACGGGAGGCAGCAGUAGGGAAUCUUCCGCAAUGGGCGAAAGCCUGACGGAGCAACGCCGCGUGAGUGAUGAAGGUCUUCGGAUCGUAAAACUCUGUUAUUAGGGAAGAACAAAUGUGUAAGUAACUGUGCACGUCUUGACGGUACCUAAUCAGAAAGCCACGGCUAACUACGUG